rnacentral:rRNA from 1 species
AUUGAACGCUGGCGGCAGGCCUAACACAUGCAAGUCGAGCGGAUGAAGGGAGCUUGCUCCUGGAUUCAGCGGCGGACGGGUGAGUAAUGCCUAGGAAUCUGCCUGGUAGUGGGGGAUAACGUCCGGAAACGGGCGCUAAUACCGCAUACGUCCUGAGGGAGAAAGUGGGGGAUCUUCGGACCUCACGCUAUCAGAUGAGCCUAGGUCGGAUUAGCUAGUUGGUGGGGUAAAGGCCUACCAAGGCGACGAUCCGUAACUGGUCUGAGAGGAUGAUCAGUCACAUUGGAACUGAGACACGGUCCAGACUCCUACGGGAGGCAGCAGUGGGGAAUAUUGGACAAAGGGCGAAAGCCUGAUCCAGCCAUGCCGCGUGUGUGAAGAAGGUCUUCGGAUUGUAAAGCACUUUAAGUUGGGAGGAAGGGCAGUAAGUUAAUACCUUGCUGUUUUGACGUUACCAACAGAAUAAGCACCGGCUAACUUCGUG